CCUACGGGAGGCAGCAGUAGGGAAUCUUGCGCAAUGGGCGAAAGCCUGACGCAGCCAUGCCGCGUGAAUGAUGAAGGUCUUAGGAUUGUAAAAUUCUUUCACCGGGGACGAUAAUGACGGUACCCGGAGAAGAAGCCCCGGCUAACUUCGUGCCAGCAGCCGCGGUAAUACGAAGGGGGCUAGCGUUGCUCGGAAUUACUGGGCGUAAAGGGCGCGUAGGCGGAUAGUUUAGUCAGAGGUGAAAGCCCAGGGCUCAACCUUGGAAUUGCCUUUGAUACUGGCUAUCUUGAGUACGGGAGAGGUGUGUGGAACUCCGAGUGUAGAGGUGAAAUUCGUAGAUAUUCGGAAGAACACCAGUGGCGAAGGCGACACACUGGCCCGUUACUGACGCUGAGGCGCGAAAGCGUGGGGAGCAAACAGGAUUAGAUACCCUGGUAGUCCACGCCGUAAACGAUGAGUGCUAGUUGUCGGCAUGCAUGCAUGUCGGUGACGCAGCUACGCAUUAAGACACCUCCGCCGUCGGGGAGGUACGGUCGCGAAGAAUUAAAACGUUAAAAGGUAAAGUUAGACGGCGUGAGACGUCGCCGACGGACGACGACGAGGGAGGUUAGG
rnacentral:rRNA from 1 species